GCCGCUCGAGUAGCAACACAAGCCCUCGAGUUCCUUCUUCUUCUUCUUCUUCUUCUUCUUCUCAAGCUCUUCACCUCUCGCUUCUUCUCAUCCUUGAAAUCCAAGCAUGGUGGCAGCCUCCUCGUCGUCGUCUUCAUCGUGCACCUCUUUUGGAUCCAUUGACGAUGUCAGCGUCCGCACCAACAGCAACGUCAAGUUCGUUUGCAGCUACGGCGGCCGGAUCCUCCCCCGUUACCCUGAUGGCAAGCUCCGGUACGUCGGCGGUGAAACCAGAGUCCUCGCGGUUGAUCGAUCGAUUCCGUUCUCAGAGCUGCAGGUGAAGCUGGGAGAGCUCUGCGGUUGGGGAAGGGUGGGGCUGAGGUGUCAGCUGCCGACCGAUGACCUCGACGCGCUGGUUUCCGUCACAUCUGAUGAAGAUCUCGCUAAUCUCAUCGAGGAAUACGAUAUCGCUGCAAGAGAUAAGCCUCCUCCGUUGAAGAUCCGGGCGUUUCUCCACCCAACGCCACCGUCCAAACCCUCCAAGCCUCUACCUCGGCCACCGUUGAAAGGGAAGUCCCCGAUCCGCUCACCGCCCGAUCGCUGCGCACCGCCGCGGAUCCCGGGCCGUUUGGUCAGAUCGGCGGGCGAUUUGAGGUUUUCCGGCCACCAUGGAACCCCUAGAGGUCACCAGUUCCUUGUUCAUCACGGCAACUACUGGCAAUAGAGAUUCAGAUCUAUGGAGUAAACGAAAAAACCAAUUAUACUACGGAAAUCCAAAGGUUAAUUUAAUGGAGACGUGCGCGUGUGAACAGCUCUGAGAACUCUUCAUUAAAUUGAAGACGCCGCUGGUGAACAACCUUGGACUUUCUUUUUGGAAGAACCUUAGUUUUUUAAUUGGUUCUCUGAGUCCAAUUUUCAAAAUUAUCUUUUUAUUUAAAA